AAGGAAAAAGGAAGCACGUUUAGCGUCUUAUUUAGUUUUGAGAGGUCUUGAAAUAAGUCAUGAGAACGUUAAGAAACCCGUAUGACAAUAGGGAACUGACGCAGAGUCGUAGGACUCAAGGAAGUGAUUCUUUUUCACUAGGGUUUUAGUUCGAAUACAGUUGGCUUCAUACAGACCAUUGAUAAGAGUAUACAUAUACAAGUACAUUUAUAGUGUACGGGGCCUUAGCUCAGCUGGGAGAGCGCCUGCUUUGCACGCAGGAGGUCAGCGGUUCGAUCCCGCUAGGCUCCAUUAUCUAGGAUACAAAGAGAAGUUUGGGUUACCUAAUUUUCUGUAUUCUAAGAUAUAUAAGAUAUAGUUCAAGUAAUUGAACACGACCUCAUUUUUUAGGAAAAAAGAUAAAUCUCCUCGUGUGUAAAGCACACAUCGUCGAUUUCCUAUUUUUCUACAAAAAUGCCCAACAAGUUGGGACGGUCUUAGUAUCUUAAUCUUGUCCAUUGAAAAUUGAAUAACUAUAUCAUAUUCCGCAAUCAAAAAAGAUUGUAAGAAAGUACAAGAAAUAACGAAACGCUGUGAUAACGAGUUAACAAAUAAA
rnacentral:tRNA from 1 species